AUGAGAGGUUUUGUCUACAGGAUCUCCAAGUUCCCCACCAGUGUGAACAAUCCUAAUUCUAGAAGGAAACUACUCCACGGGAGGAGGGCUGUUAAACACUGGAAAAGCCUACCAUUGGAAAGACGUUCCUUUAACAGAAAAGCGCUCUCAGCCCUCAAAGAUCCCAUGCAAAGGGCUCACCUACUGCAGGAUAAGAGAGCCAAGAAAUCUGAAGAACUGAAAGCCCACAAGAAGUUCCAGAUAAAGAUGCAAGAUGCUGAAGAAUCAAUAACAUUUAUUGAGUGCUUACUAAAUGCCAGGUACUAUUCUAAAUGCUUUGUUUUACAUGCAUAACUCACAAGGGGAAAGCUCUGUUGCACUGACUGUUGUAUCCCCACGGACUGCAGAACGGAGAUAGUGGACUGGCAAAAUGCAAGAAGCUAUGUGUGCAAACAUAGCUUUUGACAAUGGUAGGAAGAGACAUGACCAUUGGAUCCAUUUUAAUGACUUUAUCCAUUCUGCCCAACCUCCCCUCCCUGCCCCUGCAACAAUUUUGGCAUUCUUCCACAUGCCAGCCAAAGCUUUCCUGUCCCCACUAAAUCCUUGUAGGCUAUGGCUUGAUACACCAUCACUCACACCCAUUUACUGGAAAGCUCCUCUUUGGGCAAGUGGCACUGCUCAUUGAGUUUCUGAGCAGAGUUGUUAUUGGGGUCACAGUAUGGCCCAGGGAAGAAACUCAAUGACAAGUGCAGAGUGGGAGCUCUCUGGAGCAAUGUCUCAUCGUCAUGAUGGCAUGUUGGAAAAUUGAUAACUUUACUCUGCCUAAGGAGAAACCUCCGCAUGUCACCACCAAUCAUGCAGACUAGACUCUUAAAAUGAAAUUAGGCUGAAACACAACCAAUCAAAGUUAGAGUCUCAAUUGCUCUAUGACUUCAUUUAAAGUUCCAGUGCCAGCAGGAAGAAAAAAGAAAUCAAUACUACAUUUUCUUCAUCAUCAAUUUUGCUUUUUGCUAAAUGAAAAUGCUUAUAUUCUUUCUCUUGUUCCCUCCACCGUUGAAGAUGUUAUUUCUUCCCCACCUUAUCUUAUCCCUCCUGUGGUCACAGUUAAACUCACGCAAAGAGUUGAUGUAGGACAGAGUUGUGAGUACGGCUUAUUUGUACUAAGCUCUUGAAAGUAUUGCCAAGGAGCUCAUCUCAGUUACCCUAAUAUUUACCAGUACAGUAGUCCUUACUCCAUUGGCCUUCCUGAAGCUGCAGCGCCCUAACCACUUUUGUAGGUGGAGAGUCGAUAGUGUGCUUACUCCAAACAGCUCUCAAGGCCCUAAGGGCAAAUCCCAGUGUAAUGCCCUGUGCCAGACUGUUGUACAAGGCCUUGUUGAAGGGAAUGUGAUAGGGGUGGCGGGCCUGUCAUGAACUCCUUCGUGGGCUUUGGUUACAAAAGUAGCAAAGGGACCUCAUUAUAAAAUGUUCUCACCUGUUCAGUUGCAAAACUAAAAGGGUUUUGCUGAACAAUAGAGAGAACUCACUGCCAAAGCAAUCCCUCAGUAGUGACCUUUAAGAGCUCUCAGUGAGCUCCUGUUUCUGUUGGCUCCAAGAUGGUCCCAAUUCAGGACUUAACUCACUUGGCAAUAUUUGGAAAGACAGAAAGAAAGAAAGAAAAAUUUGAAACAGAGGAAGAAAAAAAAAUAGUUCCACGGGCUGGAAACUCAUUUCCUGAGGAGCAGGAGCACAUCGCCUUGCUCUCUGGGACUCACCAAGCUCCAGGAAGCUCGACCAGUCACUUAAUAAGUCAUUGAGGACGUGUGGUUUAAUUAACUCGCCCAAAAUUCCUUCUUUCCCUUUCUCACUUUUGCUAUUAAUAUUUUCCGAUAUCUGAUAAUGUGGUGUAGUUAAUUCUUUCUGGCUUUAUAAUGAACACUGCCAUAAUGGAAAAGGUUAGCAGGGCUUCAGGCAGCUUUUAAUUAGCCAGCCAAGCAGGUAAAAGCACUUUAUUCUUCUCUUUUUUUCCCCUUACUUAGCAAUUAAUGGAGGAGCUCAGUGGCACUUACUGUACCUUUUUUUGUUUUCUAAUGGAUGAUGCUGCACAGAGCAGGAAGGCCUUACUGUACCCCUGUUACUACCAAAUGAGAACAUUGGAGGCUGCAUCACUGCAUUUCAGGCCUCUGGCUUGUGGGUGAAAGUGUUUCUGCUGCUGUCUGAAGGUUUACCUCAUUAAAAAGCUGAGUUACCUAGAGUUGUUACCAGUUCCCUGUCUUGCACUUUUCGGUCUUUGCAUCUGCAUCUAGAGACCCCCCAAAAGGUUUUUACGGCCCAUCUGGCCUUGCUUUUUGCAAAUAUUUUCCUGGUUCUAUUUAAGUGAGCCAUCUUCCUCUGUUUCUCAUGCUAACAAGCAGGCUUGGGGUUGUUCUUCUUAUUUUACAGACAGGAAAACUGAGGCCCAAAGUGAUUACCUGCCUGGUUAAAAGUGCUUUUUCCAGUUCUGAUGGUGCCAUCUCUGGAUAUGAACAGUGGCAUCCUCAAGCUAAUUGUGGAACUAUCUUACAGGAGGAAUGUGGGAUGAGGGAGGAGUUUAGAAAUUAUGUGGGCCACUUCCCAGUCUAUUAAUCAAUAAAGAAAACUUGGGUGGAAUUAUUUGCAUGAUUCUGCAAAUGUAACACAAAAAAAUUGUUCUUGAAGUGCAUAGCACAUUUUUGGUGUUAUAGGCUUGAUAAAAGCUGACUCUGUGUGCAGAUCUCUAGAGAGAAACUGGGACAAUUUAUUUUUUAUUCUUUAUUUUUUAGACAGAGUCUAACUCUAUCAUCCAGGCUAGAGUGCAGUGGUAUGAUCUCGGCUCAGUGCAACCUCUGCCUCUUGGGUUCAAGUGAUCCUCCCACCUCAGCCUCCCAAGUAGCUGGAACUGCAGGCAUGUGCCACCAUGCGUGGCUAAUUUUUGUACUUUUUGUGGAGAUGAGGUUUUGCCAUUUUGCCCAGGCUGGUCUUGAACCCCUGAGUUCAAGCAAUCCUUUUGCCUCAGCCUCUCCAAAUACUGGGGUAAUAGUUGUGAGACAUUGCACUCAGCUGAGCCAGUUUUUUUUAAGACCCCAGGGUCUCCUGAAAAGAAAGAAAUAGACUGGGCAUGGUGGCUCACACCUGUAAUCCCAACACUUUGGGAGGCCGAAGUGGGCGGAUCAUGAGGUCAGGAGGUCUAGACCAUCCUGGCUAACACAGUGAAACCCCAUCUCCACUAAAAAUACAAAAAAUUAUCCAGGUGUGGUGGUGGGUGCCUGUAGUCCCAGCUACUCGGGAGGCUGCGGCAGGAGAAUGGCAUGAACCUGGGAGGUGGAGCUUGCAGUGAGCUGAGAUCGCGCCACUGCACUCCAGCCUGGGUGACAGAGCGAGACUCCAUCUCAAAAAAAAAAAAAAAAAGAAAAGAAAAGGAAAUAGAGACCCCAAGCUCUCUAAGAUUCAAAGUUGAGGAGAGUUUGAAGGUGUAUGGAAUGGUCCUGUGCGAAGUCAAGCUGAAGGAAGGGAUACUGAAAGCAUAAAAAUGAAGCAUACCAGGACAAAAGCAGCCUGAGCUAGUCACCUGGGCUUGACCCAAAGCUUCUGGCUGCCCAGCACAGGCUAGUAGUAUACUUGUCCAGUGAUAUAUACUGGGAAUGAUGGUUAAGCAUUUAAGAAUAACCUAACAGAGAUCAUUGUUAGGGCAGGAGCCCCUCUAAAGAUGGGUUAUGAUGUGAACACUUAUCUCUUGGGGGUACUUGUCUAAAAGUGUCUGUCCUAUAAUAUCUUCUUGUUGAUAAGCUUCCUGAAAAGGGAAGAUAAAGGGAGAAUCAUGUGACUUUGGUUGCAUCCGUUGUGCAAAAUAUUUGGUGCAUUCUCUUCUCACCACAUACCAGGUUCAGGAACUUCUUGCUGGAUAAAGAUCUCACCAAUGCCACUGGGGCAAUGGGACUUGAGCAUUGAACUUUGCAAGUCCUUGGUAGACACUCUGAAGUUUUGGUUGCUUGUGGUCCUUGUACUGUGAUCUUAAUUAAAUUGAGGUGAAAAUAAUGACUUGACUUGUUGUUACUGCCAGUGCAAACUUUAGCAACAGCAGUGUGGGAUGAGGAAACCAUGACUUCUGGAGCGGUAGGAGGUGCCCAGGCCUCCAAAUCUGCCAGGGUCAACAGCUGCCUGUAUUCCAGGGAGAAUUCUAGAAUGCUACUUUGCAGCCCAGUGCAGAUACCACUGUGGUCUUAUGUCCAUGACUGUGCAAGACUGGUGUUCAUCUGUGGUCCUCUGUGGCAGCCACCACCACAAUCAUGCUGGUGGAACAAUCUCACGUUCCAGUCCUCUGCCUGACCUUCAAAAGCAGAUUGGCCCCAUGGGAGAAUCUGGGGAGGGAUGGUAGCUCGAAGGUGCUAUAUUGGCUUUUCUGUUAAAAAUUGAAGUUGGUGAAGUCUGUCAAAACAGUUCUUUUAUAUCUGAAAAGCGCUUUGAAGUUUUCAAAACAAUACCAUAUCCAUUAUCAACACCUCAUUCAAAUAAUGCUUUUAAGUGUCAGUCAGGAAACUGUACUAUUUUCCCCAUUUUACAGAUGACAAAGCCAAAACAAUAAGAAGUUACCCCCUUCUCUAAGGAAAGUUCAGCUGGAGGCAGUUUUCUCCAUGGCGGACACUGGGCAGUGUCUGGAGACUCUUUUGUCAUCACAACUGGGGUAGGGGAGUGAGUGCUACUGGCCUCUAGUUAGUAGAGGCCAGGGGUGCUGCUAUAUAUCUUGCAAUGUACAGGACAGUCUCCAAUGACAAAGAAUUAUGCAGCCUAAAAUGACCAUAAGGCAGAGCUUGAGAAAUCCUGAUUUAAGGACAUAC
rnacentral:lncRNA from 10 species